GCGAGUAUAGCUCAAUGGCAGAGCCUCCGGCUUCCACCCGGAAGACGACGGAUCGUUACCGUCUACUCGCUCAA
rnacentral:tRNA from 1 species